rnacentral:rRNA from 1 species
GACGAACGCUGGCGGCGUGCUUAACACAUGCAAGUCGAACGGAAAGGCCCUGCUUUUGUGGGGUGCUCGAGUGGCGAACGGGUGAGUAACACGUGAGUAACCUGCCCUUGACUUUGGGAUAACUUCAGGAAACUGGGGCUAAUACCGGAUAGGAGCUCCUGCUGCAUGGUGGGGGUUGGAAAGUUUCGGCGGUUGGGGAUGGACUCGCGGCUUAUCAGCUUGUUGGUGGGGUAGUGGCUUACCAAGGCUUUGACGGGUAGCCGGCCUGAGAGGGUGACCGGCCACAUGGGGACUGAGAUACGGACCAGACUCCUACGGGAGGCAGCAGUGGGGAAUAUGGCACAAUGGGCGGGAGCCUGAUGCAGCAACGCCGCGUGCGGGAUGACGGCCUUCGGGUUGUAAACCGCUUUCGCCUGUGACGAAGCGUGAGUGACGGUAAUGGGUAAAGAAGCACCGGCUAACUACGUG